UCAUGCUGAAGCCUGCAUGGUCCUCAGUGGGAUCAUCCCACCGUGUCUUCAGUUCACAAAGGCAAGUUCCCACCAAAGUGAGCUGCUCCUCCUCUCCUGAACAGGAACCAGAACUAAGAGAGUCACGGAUGGCAGGACAUGCCCGGACUUGUUCAGCUGCCCACUUCCAGGGCUGGUUUCUUGCCUGCAAAGCAGUCUUACUAAUCCAUACUUUCUUUCCUGCAGACACACACAUUGGCUUUGAACCAAGGAUGCAACCCCAUACCAGAGCAGUCCCGGGGGGAGAAAAAUCCAGACACAAGAAGAAAAAAGUAAACUAUGCCAGCGAUUGCAAGCUUCUACAUGAUAAGACAGCCCUAUAGAGAGGCCCAGGCGAUGAAGGAACAAGGCCUUCCAACAACAACACGAGUAAAAUUAGAAGCAGAUACUACCAGCCCCAGGUGAGCCAUCAGAUGAGACCGCAGCCUUGACCAACAACUUGACGGCACCCAUAUCAGAGGUGUUGAGCCGAAGAUGUCCAGCUAAGCCAUGUCUAUGUUCUUGACCCACAGAAACUGUAAGAGUAA